rnacentral:misc_RNA from 1 species
AAAAAAUUUAAAAAAAAGCAUUUUUCAUCUGUUUAUAUAUAUGAUGCUAAUAAUUUCAACAGUUUAGAUAAACAAAAUAAUUAUUGAAUUCCUAAAUUAAACAUUAAAUCAGUUUCCGCCAACAAAAAAGUGGUACAUGUAUAUGAAUAAGUUGUGUAAUUUAAGAAAAAUCCAAUACCAACAUAGUUAGGUGUUGCUGGACGGUCUGCAAUUUUGACCACCCAAAUAUUGGCAUAGUUUUAGAUUUCAAGGUCCCACAAGCAAAAUGAGCAGAGAGCAUUACCUAAAGCAAAAAACAGCUUCUUUGCUCCCACAAGCAAUUCUCAUUACCUGACCCCCACAGUCCCUCCACUACUUGUUUGCAUCCGAGUUGAUAAUUCAAUGACAAAGAACAUAAGAUGCAACAACUGAAUCUAAACCUAUGUGUAAGCAGAAAGAAUGUAGUUCAAAAUUCUCAAAAUACAUACCUGAAUGGAAUGUCCUCUGCUAGCUUCUUGGUUCCAAUCUAAUUACAAUGUGAACCGUGCAGUUUUAAACCACCUCUUACCCUUAAUCCACACGAGACUUAAAUAUUCACAUAUGGAUCUAAAUAUUUUUCAUUUAGAAGGGAUUGAAAGGAAAAAUCCUGAAUGUGCUAAAUUUCAGGUCAAUUUUGGGUUUGAAUAUGCAGGACUUGUUAGGUUCAAGUUAUAUUUACCACAGGG